CCUGGUGGCUCAGCGGGCUGACCCAUCGGACACUUCUUAAGUUCAGAGAGCAGAUCGACUCCCGGAGAGUCGUGUGAGUUGAAGUCGAGCCCCGAGCCUCCCCGUCAGUUUGAGACCUAAUCCCCGGACUGAGACCUAAUCCCAGGGUGAAGCUCUCAUGCUGUCGGGGUGAGUUUGUGCAAGUGGCUGUUCUCUACCACGCCGGCCGUUUUGGGGGGCUCCAUUUUCGGGGCCUUCCAAAACAGGGAAAAUGGGGGGGUUUAAGUCCUUUAUAAAUGCAUAGAUCGGAAUUCAAUUCGAAAAAGCAGCCCCUUAUACCACUGUGACACCUGCAGGAUGGGUGUGGCACUGGCAGUGAAAGAGAGGUGCAGUCCUAACUAGGAGCGACAGGGGUCUCUCUCCAGCACAUUUCUCUUGAUUCGACCAGCUGGCCGCAAGCUAAACGAGUCCAGCGAACAGUUUCGUAGGAGAAUGUCACUGUGUUAGGUUGUCUGAAAAUUCUUGGCCGUUAUAUACUUUAUGUAUGAUUUGGUGAGUUCAAGUUUCUUUUUAUCUUCAGUAGCGUGAGUGUUGAGUCCUUGUAACCGAGCGCACAGCUGUCAUUCAGGAGCCGAGCCCGCCCCCAGAGUGACCUUCCUCAGCGGACACGCCCCGUCCACCUGUUCCACAGGUGCGCCCGGCAAGAUGGCAGCGGGGAGAGUUUCUGUGGCGUGAGGACGCCGAAAUGAGUGUCCUGUCCGUUUGGGCGUGCUCUCGAAGUUUUAAAAGUCUGCAUUCAGCGUUCUUAUACUACCUUUCAUGUAAGUAUGUUUUGUAAGACAAUGUCUGUUUCUUUUAACGAAAACCCUUCAAAUAUUUGCUUUCUCGAGU
rnacentral:lncRNA from 1 species